CGCGUGCAGUUGUUACGCAUUUUACAAGAGGCGCAACGAGACGAGAUUCUCCUCUUUCUCUUCCCGUUCAAAUCCCGCUCGCCGUGCUCGUCCGUCGUUUCCCAUUGGCUGCCCGACGCCAGCGCCAUGGCCGUCGCCGGCAGUAGCGUAAAGCUCGCGCCUGUACCUCGCUCGUGUGUUGACGUGAAAAUCGUUCGCGAGCCAAGCAAUUGCCUGCCUGGGCUAUUAGCCGGUAAUGAAAGUAGCCUGGUUAUAAGCACUUGGAUAAUAGGACUGUGAGACAAUCGGGCAACGAGAAGAAAAUAAUAGUAAACGUCACUCUAGUCUCCCGCCGUCGCGCACGCUGCAAUCCGUCUACAUGGUUUCUUUUUCCACCGGCACGAACGACGAUCUCUUUCCGUUUCCAUUUUAAUGUUAUUGUCCUACCACGAUAAUAACAAAGCGGCCACUGCCUUUCUCUCUGUGCAGUGCCAAUGAAACAACCUAGCCUCAACAAUCUCAGAGACAACUAGAGACGACGGUAAGAACAUUGCCUUUACACUCACCAGUAAUCAUGGUGAAAGCAGUUGGCCACUCUGAUCCCACUGACGAGGCGCAAGUAUAAAUUAAUUUUCGUCACAAGCUACGGGCGGCCCUCUGUCGAGCGGAGAAAGUAGUUUUUUAACGGCGGUGGAAUUUGAAAAGGAGCACGGCUGAUGUCACCAGCCCUGAAUAAUGGAUUUCAGCUCGUGAUACAUUCAUCCCCGUGGCCUAAAAUAUCGCCGGACGUCCCAGGCGAUUUGGCUGCCGGUAUUCUCGCUCUCGUAAAAGACGUCCGAUGCGAGCGAGCGGUGUUACUUAUGUAAAAAUGAGAGAUGUUCCUGCCACCUGGCGAAAGAGCCAACGAAGUAACGAGGUCAAGUGCUCCGGAUAGUAGGCAGAGGCCUACUUUACUUUAACUAGUCUUCAUGAGCAUCGCAAAACGCUUUGGCUUCCCCCGACGGGACACGGAAGAGAUGGGAACAUUCCCGUCAACCACCGACGACCUUCGACGUCGAAAGAGACGAGGAUCGGUAUCCAGUUAGUCAUUUAUUGGUCAGACAGUCAGUAAGAUAACUGUGCUUUCGUAUUAUACGAUACGUACGGAGUCAUUGUAUGGGUGGCAGUACGGGAGGAGGGGGGGGGAGGGG